AGAUUAUGUAGGAUUAUACAUAAAAGAUGCUUUUUUGGCUCUCUCUUUAGCCCUAUGUCUCUUACCCCUAGGAGGUCUUCCUCCACUAGCAGGUUUUUUCGGAAAACUCUAUUUAUUCUGGUGUGGAUGGCAGGCAGGCCUAUAUUUCUUGGUUUUAAUAGCUAGGAACUUUUGCUUGCAUUAUAUUAUUUUGUCUGCGUAUCGAACUGAUAACAUUUGAGAUUAUGUAGGAUUAUACAUAAAAGAUGCUUUUUUGGCUCUCUCUUUAGCCCUAUGUCUCUUACCCCUAGGAGGUCUUCCUCCACUAGCAGGUUUUUUCGGAAAACUCUAUUUAUUCUGGUAAGGAUGGCAGGUAGACCUAUAUUUCUUGGUUUUAAUAGGACCCUUGUGGGUCCCGAGGGACGGAGGAGGCUAGGUUAGUUGAAAGAUAGUUAUCGGUUCAAGAACGUAAGGUGUCCCUGCUUUGUCAGGGUAAGAAGGGGUAGAGAAAAUGCCUCGAGCCAAUGUUUGAAUACCAGGAGCUACGUAAAUACGCCAAACAACAAAUCCAAUUUUUUUUAUGAGAUGAAUAAAAAAGAUUAAUAUAAGGUAAGAUUUUAAUUCUUAUUCUUUUUUUUCAUCUGAUUGAUAAAAUCCAAAGAAUGGGGAGGGUUUCGUAUCUAUCAAUUCGAUCAAAUAGACUGAGCAAUUGUCACCAUUUAUAGAUAUUGAAAUGAAUGCCUUCCCAUUACUGAUUAACUCCUAUCUACCC
rnacentral:lncRNA from 1 species